GAUGAACGCUGGCGGCGUGCUUAACACAUGCAAGUCGAACGGGAAACUUUUCAUUGAAGCUUCGGCAGAUUUGGUCUGUUUCUAGUGGCGGACGGGUGAGUAACGCGUGGGUAACCUGCCUUAUACAGGGGGAUAACAACCAGAAAUGGUUGCUAAUACCGCAUAAGCGCACAGGAUCGCAUGGUCCGGUGUGAAAAACUCCGGUGGUAUAAGAUGGACCCGCGUUGGAUUAGCUAGUUGGCAGGGUAACGGCCUACCAAGGCAACGAUCCAUAGCCGGCCUGGGAGGGUGAACGGCCACAUUGGGACUGAGACACGGCCCAGACUCCUACGGGAGGCAGCAGUGGGGAAUAUUGCACAAUGGGGGAAACCCUGAUGCAGCGACGCCGCGUGAAGGAAGAAGUAUCUCGGUAUGUAAACUUCUAUCAGCAGGGGAGAUAGUGACGGUACCUGACUAAGAAGCCCCGGCUAACUACGUGCCAGCCGCCGCCGUAA
rnacentral:rRNA from 1 species